AAGGGAGCUUCAUAGGAUUCCAAAUCAAGGGUUAAGAUCAACCCCAUGUGCCCAUCUUGCUCUUUCUAGAAAAUCUUAUUUUUAUGGUGACAAACUUUGUUAAAUUGGAGAAUUAAAUUUUGAUAAAGAGGUUCUGUUUAAGACUUGAGAGUUGUGCGGUUUCUUUCUUGCAGGUCCUGCUCACACCAACUCAUCUAGCCAUUGUGAUGGAGUACGCGGCUGGGUGAUAACUUUUCGAGAGAAUAUGCAGUGCUGGCAGAUUUAGUGAGGAUGAGGUUAAGUAGUUUCAAAGGCAGAGAAAAUUUCAUUGUAAAUGUUUUUGGCGUAGAGUCUGAAAUAUGGGAUCUCUGAAUGUCCCCUGAAAUGGAAUCCAUUUCGAUUUUCGUUUCAGAUAGGGAAAGUUAGGUCUGAAGCAUAUUUUUACAUAACAGUCGGUCAUAAUAUAACUAAAACUUCCAUACUUUUUCGAUUUAAUUGUUGUUUUGCAUCGGGCAAGGUUUUUCUUCCGGCAGUUGAUAUCAGGAGUUAGUUACUGUCAUUUGAUGGUCAAUCCCCAAUUUUAUGCAUUUAAGUGGAUCACCCUCCUCUUAACACAGGAGUUCAAUUUUGCUGACAGCCUUCACACUUGGGAUACACUUUCAAGUGAUCUGAGGGUCCUUAGCUUUCAUGCAGUCCCCUACUCAAACAUGUGUCAAGACGAAUGACAAUGGACUGCAGAUAUCAAACAACGUGACUCACAGAGCUGCCUUGAUCAUUAGUUGGUGAUAUUUGGGAGAUUGGGUCAUCUGGUUGUUUGAUUUAAGUGGGAUUGAGGUUAUCUUUGCCACUUUUUGUGAUCUGGGUCUGGGUUAUGGUCAAGUUAUUGCUAUUUGUUCUGGGUAUUUGCUGAAAUUUAUGUUCAAUUAGUCUGAGUUCUGUAUUUGGUUUGUGUUCGUUCAAAUAACCUUAUGUGCUUGGAAUGUGAUUUAGCUGUGGCCCUUUAAUUUGAUUCCUAAUUCGUUAUGAUUCAGCACUAUGUUGAUGUUAAUGAUGAAUUUUGGUUUGCAGAUGACCCUGAAGUACCUAAUGUCCGACACCAUGUAACUUUUUGAAAGAACAUGUUUUUAAGGAGUCCAGUUGUGCAGAAGACAUCUCCAUUAACCGGUAACAGAUGAAAUUGUUUGCUAUCAAGGUUUCCGUGCAGAAGAGCGAAAAUGCUGCAAGUGGAGGAUAGAUAACAGCUCAAGACACAUGGUAUGAGGGUGCAGGUAAACUAUAGAUAUGCAUCUGGAAAAAGUAAAAAGUAAAGGAGGGUGGCUGUAGCUUCUCCUUCUCGUCACAAUAGAAAAUACUUUUGAACUGCAUUAAGCUGUUAAUAAAUUAAGCUUAAGCUAUAUUUUAUUUAUCAAGAAUGGGUAAACUGUUUUAAAUAGAAAAAUUAAGUGCUUUGUCAAUUUUACAAAGUUUUCUGGUAAAUUAGAUAUAUAGUUUAAUUCGAAAAGUUGUGUUGACCUUUACUUUUGGUGCGUCCCCUUAUUCCAAUCUCUAUAUAUCUGCUCAACUCUUGGGUUAAUUAUUUGCCAGUAGGAAUGUUUAAUUGCUUGAUCAAUGAUGUUGAUUCAAUUUGAAGAAGAAAUAGGACUUUUGUUCAAUAGGGAUUUAGACUCGCAUAUAAGAUGUCCCAAUUCUUCAUUGAUUCUUAGGUGCUACGUCUUUUUAGUUGUUUUGUGUGGAAACUAUUCAUGCCUGUUGCGACUAAUACAUUCAAGUCCUGCAGCAACGCGCAUGCAUAUUUUCUAGUUCUUUCUAUUUUAAGAAAAACUCAAAUUUGCCUAUUUAAGAAAAAUUUAGAAAAAUAAUAAUGCAUUCUGAGAAUGCAAUAAUAGUUUGCCUAUUGAAAGUGAAAGAAAAUUUAAGUUUUUCUUUCUAUUUUUAAUGUGAUGAAAUUUGAGUUUUUGUUGAGUAUUUGCAUAAUUGGUCCAAUAGUUUGCCUAUUUUCUCUGUUGCUUAUGUUCGAUAUUAUCUUAUGCAGAGAAUUACAAAGAAACCAUAAUUGUAAUAAAGCUUGAUAAUGACGAUAUUCUUGUUAUUUCUGGUUCUAAGAGGACAAUAUCUGAGGAUUUCAAUACUUAUAUAGUGCAUGGAUCAUUCAAGCAAGCAAGUAGAAGUUCACGUUCAGCCAAGUUCAAGGUACUUUUGACAUCAAUACAAGUAAGUUUACACAGUUUAGACUUCACAUACUUUUCUAGGUACAUGGCACCUAAUCCAAUAGCAUAAAACCUAGACAAUUCCACUAACUUUUUGAUCGCAAGUGAAACCCUUUUCUUUAAAUAUCAAAGAAAAAACAUAUGGCUAAUCCCAUUCACAAAUCUCAUUACUAUAAAACCUAUAGUUUCAUCACAGUUCAAGUACCUCCAUAAGACAGCUAUUGACUACAGAAAAAUUUGCCUUCAACAGAUUAAAAACACCACGUUUCAAAUAAUAAACUCCCUGCUCUUGCAACCAAGACCUUACUUUUCAAAUAGUCCACCUUGUUAACAACAUCAAAUACUGAAAAGAUAUAAAUAUUACUAGUUGACAGAUUUGAGAAAGCCAUAAUAUAAAUAGUAAACAAUGUUAAAUUAAAAAAGAAAAAGCGUUAAAAACUAAUAAAAAAUGUUAAAUUAAAAAGUGUUAAAGAAAACCCUUACCUAUAUAUAAGUAUUGAAAUCAUCAGAUAUUGUCCUCCUAGAACCAGAAACAACAAGAAUAUCGCCAUUAUCAAGCUUUAUUACAAUUAUGGUUGUUUCUUUGUAAUUCUCUGCAUAAGAUAAUAUCGAACAUGAGCAACAGAGAAAAUAGGCAAACUAUGGGACCAAUUAUGCAAAAACUCAAAUUUCAUCACAUCAAAAAUAGAAGUUAAAAGUCGCACAAAAUUGAAGAAAUCUACAUUCAAUCAAUUUCAUAAAUCACUUUGUAAGCUUUUCUAUAAACAAUUUAAAAAUGGUAAGUAAAAAGAGAUUACUGAGAUGGUGAGGCGGCCUUCUGAUAAUUGUAAGAGGCAAGGUUUCUGCAAACACUCAAUAAAAAUGCAAAUUUCAUAACAUCAAGGAAUUAUGAUAGAGAACAAUCUACGUCAACUAAAAUUAAAAAAAUUCUUUCUAUCAAUUUCAUAAAUAAUUUUGGUGAAGAAUGAAGCAGAAACUAUGAAUAAUGAUAGAGAUUUUGGUGAAAAAUGAAGUAGAAACUAUGAAUAAUGAUAGAGAUUUUGGUGAAGAAUGAAGUAGAAACUAUGAAUAAUGAUAGAGAUCUUGAGAAAAUUGGUUUGAGAUUUCUGAGGAUGGAUGGUGGAUUAUAUAAAGGAUUCAGAAACGAUUAGGUUAUAGAUAAUGCCACAUGGCAUGCUGUCAUUCGUUAAAAAUCUGGUGGAAAUUUAUCCUCAAAGAUUGUAAAUAGAUUGUGACACAUGGCACGACGUGAUUGGUUAAAAAUCUGAUCGGAAAUCCAUCUCUAAUAAUUGGCUUUUUGGAUAAUGACACGUGGCGCAACGAGAACAAAUAAAAAUCUUAUCGAAAAUCCAUCGCCAAUAAUUGUCUGUUCCGAUAAUAACACGUGGUGUAACAAGAACGAUUACAAAUCUUAUCAGAAAUCCGUCACCAAUAAUUGUCUUUUCCGAUAAUGACAUGUGGCGCAACGAGAACGAUUACAAAUUUUAUCAGAAAUCCGUCAUCAAUAAUUGUCUUUUCCGAUAAUGACACGUGGCGCAAUGAGAACGAUUAAAAAAUCUUAUCGGAAAUUCAUCACCAAUAAUUGUCUUUUCUGAUAAUGACACAUGGCACAAGAACAAUUAAAAAUCUUAUCCGAAAUUACAAAUAAAAUUAUUUUGUAUUAUUUUAUAAAUAAAAAAAUAGUAAUAUUUUAUUGCCAAUUGCCAGGGCUAUUCAAAUGUAACAAUGGAGAUGCAAAAAACGAUUACUGUUCAUUAGGGCAGUUACUGUUAACUGGGUGGAUAGCAUAGUGGAUAGCCCUAGGGGGCUUCCACCAGGGUGGAGUUGCCCUGAGGGAAAUGGAAAGGACUUGAAUUUUUUAUUUGAUGUUUGGAUUGAGUGUUGGGCUCUUUUGUGUGCACGACGUUGAUUUUAUGAAGUCAAAAGUCAAUUGAAAUUUGUGUGGUUGAGAUUUGAUUUGGGGGUAGAGUGAUGGAGGGAGUGCCAUUUGUUUACCACUCCUCUCAUUGUAUUUGUAACGUGGGAGGUGGAGUGGAGUGAUGGAGUUAUAUGAUAUGUACAUUAUUAUAUGUUAGCUAUCUAAAUCGGGCGGGUUAGGUUAAGCCAACUCGAACUCAACCUUUACAAUUUGGAUUGAGGUAUAGUUUUGUGUACAUGUGAGUUCAAUUCAACCGAGUUAGAACUUAACUCGAGGCGGUCUCAAGUUUACCAACUUUAUGUAGAUCAAUCUCAUUGAUUAGUGCUUACGCAACAAAACCUCACUUAAGCAAAACAAUUGAGAUCUGUCAUAUUUUUAGCAGACCAAACCAAAGCUAGUCAAUGAUCCCACAAAAAUAAAUAUCAUUCCUUUUUAUGAGACACAAGAAAUUAGGAAAGUUUAAGUCCAACAAAAUUAGUCUUUACUGGUUAAUUGUCCAUCUGCAGUUCGACCACCACAUCAAUUCCAAGCACAAACAAGAGAUGGAUUGUGGAUACACAGUACUAGUAAGCUUCACUAGUACAACUGUUGAUGGAAUUGCAAUCUGAGCAUAUUCCAAAAUAGCAGCAGCAGCAGGCCGGUGUACAUACCUUCUCCUUUCUUGUAAUCUUCUGAUCAUAUUCAGAAGAUUAGCUGCGGUGUAAUCUUCUUGCUAAAGGUUUCGGCUCCCUUGUUUUCCGGUCAAACCCUCUCACACAAAUGAAUCCUGCAAAACAUAAUUACUAAUUUUAUCAGCAACUGCAUUAUUUCGCCGUCUGUAGCAAGGAACCACAUACAUUCACUCAUAAGUGCUACAUGCAAAUCAAUGUUUCACAUCAUACCUUUCUUAAAGCAGUCCCGGAUUUCUUUGGUCAAUAAACCUGGUACGGAGAAUGUAAGCUAACAAGCAAAAUUUUCCAACCACUGUAAUCAAUUCCAAAACACAUACAUAUACCUAUAAAUAUUCCCGAGACACUGUUUCCACAAUAUAGCGUUCGUCUCCUCAAAUGUUGUAUCGAUGACACAGGAACAUCGAUCGGGUUUUCACUUGUUUUAUAAUCAGCUAGCACCUGUUGUUCAUAUUAUUAUUUCAUCAUACCAGUUUGGAUAGUUCAAAUAAUAUACUUCCUAAAUAAAUGUCAAGUUUAAAUGAGAAAAGAAAUAGGCUUUACCUCAUUAGCUUGAAAGUAUGUUCCGUUGAGAGGAAAAGUUCCUCGCAUUGCCGUGCGACAUGGUAUCUGUAUGAGGUUAGUUUUUGUUAUCUUUUGUAGUUUUGGCAUAUGAAAAAAUGCAGGUUAAAAUACAUGCCGAGGGUUAUGGGUUCUUCCUCACCAAAAUUGUUCCUAGAACAGUCUGGGCAGUGUCUUCACCAUUGCUGCCCAAAAAUUGUCCAUUCUCAUCAAAGCAAGCGGUUUGACCUUCAGUUGAUCCAACAGGAUUGGAUAGUUUGCCUGAAUCAAAAGUUGCACAAACAACACCAUCACACCAAUGUCGGUUCAAGGACUGCAUACUUUUGGAAGAUUAAAAUACAACCAGACACAACAAUUGGCUAAUCGCUCUUACCAGAUGACCAUACAACAAGAAGGUAAGGGCAGGGAUCAUCAGGUUCUCUUCUCUCUAGCUGCAUUUGUUUUCAUGGAAAAAAAAAAUAUCAGUGUCUGGAAGUCAAAGACAUCUACAUUUAUGCCAGUAUAAUGUUUUAGAGCAAGAAUGCUUGAGAUAUCUAACCCCUUUCAAAAUGUGGUGAGCGUCUGGAAGUUCGUAGCUGCAGUUGAAUAUACUUUUGUCAGUACCUAUAUGAACUUUUAAAGUUUAAAUUACAGUUGUACGUACUAAACAAUUUCUUUCGAAGAUUAAAAUAAGCUCCUAAAAACCUCAUUCAUAUCUCACCCUACGAAAAUCAAACUAUUUUAGGUUAAUAAAUGUUGCUUACACUUGAUGCUUUGUCCUAAAUUGGCUCAUGCGCUUCGAUCUGGGUGCGCGACUAGUUGGAACUGGAGCACUAGAUUUUGACAUGACAACUUCUUGAAGCGACUCACUUGUUCGGUUGAAACACUUCUGCUUACUUUGUGCAUGAUCAGCCUUUACAAUUUUACACCCUUUAGGAUUGACUUUGAUUGUAGGAUUCUUAUCGUGAACCUUUAUGCACAAAUCUUCAAUGUCCCCUUCACUCCUUGCACUUCAUGAAACAUAUUUGUUACUUGAAAUAUCAUUAACAUAGAAGCACCGUAUGAUUUUAA